rnacentral:lncRNA from 1 species
GUGGGACUGGGCCCAGGUUCCCACCGCAUCGUCCGCCUCAGCCAGAACCUUCUGGUCCCCGCCCCCGGAUAGGGACCCAGGAGGCCCAAGCCCCUUCUUCCGGCGGGGAGUGGGAGCCUCUCGCACUCUCGGCAGCUCCAGACCCUCGGGAUCUCCGUUUACAGUUCAGGACCUCAGCUGCACUUUGGCGCUAACGCCCUGUUUCCCAGAAGCUGUUGAUUUCUCCAAAAUAACCAUCAAAAGUCUGAUGAGAUAAAGAGCACACUGGAAACUGGGAAUGCUUUGAUGGAAAUUCUGCAAGUAAUGGACGCUCUGGCUUGCCUUGGUGACUGUCAAAUAAAAGCAAGUAUAUACUCAGUUCUCUCCACACUUCCCACAUACUUACCAAGCAAAAAGCCCAUGAAAAAUCUGCAGCAGCCUCUGAUAGCAGGAAGACAUUAUGUGGUACUCCUGAACUUUCACUCCUGGUCCAUCAACUACACCGUGAUUCUCAGCAGCUAAACACUAAAAAUAAAAAUGAUUUUAGGACA